CAUAUGGCACAGUUUUGCUGUCAAUCAUUCUGGUGGCAGUAACUAGGUUACAGUGGAAAAUUCCACUAUGCCUGAACCCAGUAACCAAAUGCUACAGUAGUGGAAAAUUACAGAUUAGAAAAAAGUUCCCGCCAUUCGUAUGCAAAUAUGCACACUAGUAUUGGCUGAUUCUAAAUUAUUCCUACGUGGCGAUUAGCGAUUGGCUUGCUAGCCAUAUAAAACUUAAGGGCAGUUUCCGCCCAAGUUGGAGAACUCCGAGCACGUGAGAGAGUGAGAACUCUGUAUGCAUCUCAGAGACCUCAGAGAACACCUGAGAGGCAACUUGGAGGACUGAUCAACCACCAAGAACAACUCCCUGUCACCGACCCAAAUUUAGACGUAAACCAAUGACUGCCGGCCUGAACACUUCUGCCCGAACACCUCUGCAGACCGACUUAAAGAAAUCCUGUACCUGUUUACAACUGUAAUCUAAGUUAGUUCUUGUCCUGCACUGUAACCAUCAGCAGUAUUACAGAUGCAUUUCAGAAAUGGCAUGCUAUUAUGUACUGAGGACAAGAACUUAUGAAUUGUGAUGGAUGAGAAACCCCUAGAAUUUUCUACUUGUGCCAGUGUCACCACCACCCACUUGACACCUUGUCCAGUCAAAGGAGCUGGUAAACUGCUUUGCUGCAGAUGAAGGCACACUUACUGAUUCAUCCAGAUCAGACAAUGACACCCGGACCUGCCUGCCAGCCUGCAAUCUGUUUUCUGUGUGUUCAGAGCAGCGUGGGUCACUGCAGCUAAACCAGCCCAGUCAGAAUCACGGGCCCAUUCUACAUAACUGACAGCUCUGGCAUUCAGACAUUUUGGAAAUGACAAUUGCUUCUGAAAGGAGAAGUGCCACUUUCUUUUGAAGAUUCUCUGAGCCAUGGAACUAGGUAGAAGAAUCCAGACAGAAUCCACCGGAGUGGAUAACUGUGGGUUCCUGUACAACCUCCACAAAAGAAAGUUAAUUGAAGAAGGAGUCCAGACAAGAACACUCAACACCCUGAUAUUUUAAAAUGAAACAUUUGCAGAAAACUUGAUUCAUCAGGCAAACUUCAGUCUGGUAUUACUGCUGUCAGAGCUUAUGUUGGAAUGCCUCCAACGGUGGAGGAACUUGCAGAUGGCAGUGCUUCAUUGCCCUCAAACUGAAGCUCUCCUGUUCUAACUUUCAGAGACUUUGAAGAGUAAACAGAUGGAAGAGAAGGCAAUCUUGCUCUUGAAGUAAUGAGACUGACUCACCACUUUGUCACAUCAGCAUAACCAACCCAUCCUGCCCCUCCCCCAGCAUUUGGAAGAACAGUCAUCAUCGGUGCCACGUUACAGUGAACUCAGUCACUCCACUGGAAGCCAAUGCAGUUAGACCAGCCUGAAACUAUUGUAGUGAACUAGGCAUGAAUCAGACCCCGAAUUUUGGUUUUGGAUGAUGAAUUGAAAUAUGGGUUUCUCUGCAUCCUCUGCUACCUUUGACCAUUUAUUGGCAAACAAAAGUAGAAGCUACAAAGUUCAAGGAAAAGUCAGUCAGUGUUUUUGGAAGGAUUCACAGAAGCAAGUGGUAGUAACAUAUUUCAAACCAAAAACUGAGCUGAAACCAUUUCUUUCAUCAUCAGGAAAGGCUGUCAGCCACAUCGCUUUCAGCUCCGCUGUGUAACCCCACAGUGCAUGCUGUCUUAGUGCAACAUCAUGAUAUCAGUAGUACAUCAUGGAUCCGCAGGAGCAGAAUGCAAGGGUGCAAAUAUCACCACUAGGAAUGAAUGUGUAGAAUUCCUUAAAACCACAGGCUUGAUUAUCUCUUGCCUUGUACUUUGUAUAUCUACUUACAGUGGUACAAAGCAGGUGCAAAGAACAAGACAGACUGGCACAGUUUUGCACAUGUUUUGUACCUUUAUAAAUGAAAACACAACACACAAAGCAGUGAGGAGGCAGAGCUACCAGACUGGAUCUUCAGUGUAAAAUGGCAUAGCACCAUUGGAUUUCAGACUUGGCUCAGUAUAUAGAAACCACAGGGCUCCAUUCCCAUAUUCUUCAUCUAGAACAUAGCUCCAUACAAGAGAUGGAAAUACUGGGAAAGAGAAAAAACCUCUGAAGCAACUUGCCUCCCUUCUCCACCUCAUCAAUGCUGAAAAAUUCCAGUCCUGGUAUGGAAGUGUGCCCUGUAUUAGUUGGCAAGAACAGCCCAGGGAAAUCUUUAUGAUCUGAUCGACUGCAGUUAUUCUGAUGCAAUGCAAUUAAAGGAGAAUAGGUAAUUUAAUAUUAAUAUUGACUGUAGGAGAGUGCAUCUCAGACUAAACACAAGACUACAACUUUGAUUUGGCCUCAGUCUACCUUCUCUGUGUGCUGCAGUAUUUCUAUUCCUCAAGCACAGUGAUUAUUGUACAACAUAUGAGCUAGAAAGCAAUUCAGUACUGAGAAAGUCAUUGAUCAAAGCAGGGAAAAAAGAUACAUGAUAGCUGGGUUGAAAAGCAGAAUGCAGAGUUCAGCAUGUCUUAUUCUGCACUUGCAUACAAGAUACCACAGUUCAGUUUCCUAUUGUGGCAUCUCAGAAGGGUGAAGAAGCACACAGAAUCAAGGUGGGAAUACAGUCCCUGACCACACAGCAGCAAAAUAUGUUGUUCUGGACUAGCCAAGAGGGAAGAAAGAAAAAUAAAAUGGCAAAUGUGGUGAGAAAUAUAAGGGUCAUAAAGCAACCAAAAGGGUAUGCAAGUAUUGGAAGAAUUCUGGCUGAGCAUAACUGAAGGUUUACUUUGCUAGUAACUUUCUCCUUUCCUAAAUGAAAAUAUCCUCUCCCAGUUUAUUAUUUAUCUAUUCACAAGGUUAAUUACAGCACAAAUGCUCCAAAAGGAAUGUACAUCUUUAAAAAAAAUCUGCUAAGUGCCAAUCCACUAUGACUCAAUUUAUUUUAAUUAAUAAGUGAUCAACCAAAAAAAAAAAUAAAUAAAAAUCCUGAGACCUUG